rnacentral:rRNA from 1 species
AGCGAACGCUGGCGGCAGGCCUAACACAUGCAAGUCGAACGAAGUCUUCGGACUUAGUGGCGGACGGGUGAGUAACACGUGGGAACGUGCCUUUAGGUUCGGAAUAACUCAGGGAAACUUGUGCUAAUGCCGAAUGUGCCCUUCGGGGGAAAGAUUUAUCGCCUUUAGAGCGGCCCGCGUCUGAUUAGCUAGUUGGUGAGGUAAAGGCUCACCAAGGCUACGAUCAGUAGCUGGUCUGAGAGGAUGACCAGCCACAUUGGGACUGAGACACGGCCCAAACUCCCACGGGAGGCAGCAGUGGGGAAUCUUGCGCAAUGGGCGAAAGCCUGACGCAGCCAUGCCGCGUGGAUGAUGAAGGUCUUAGGAUUGUAAAAUCCUUUCACCGGUGAAGAUAAUGACUGUAGCCGGAGAAGAAGCCCCGGCUAACUUCGUGCCAGCAGCCGCAGUAAUAC